GUGGGAUUAGCUAAGUGGUAAGGCAGGAGACAAACUUAUGUUUGUAGUCCUUAGUUAACAACCUUGUCUGAAAAGACCGAAAUAACAGAGGGUUAUCGUCAAUCUCCCAUCCGCAGGUUCAAAUCCUGCAUCCCGCG
rnacentral:tRNA from 1 species